rnacentral:rRNA from 1 species
AUUGAACGCUGGCGGCAUGCCUUACACAUGCAAGUCGAACGGCAGCACGGGAGCAAUCCUGGUGGCGAGUGGCGAACGGGUGAGUAAUACAUCGGAACGUGCCCAGUAGUGGGGGAUAGCCCGGCGAAAGCCGGAUUAAUACCGCAUACGACCUGGGGGUGAAAGCGGGGGAUCGCAAGACCUCGCGCUAUUGGAGCGGCCGAUGUCAGAUUAGCUAGUUGGNGGGGUAAAGGCCUACCAAGGCUACGAUCUGUAGUUGGUCUGAGAGGACGACCAGCCACACUGGGACUGAGACACGGCCCAGACUCCUACGGGAGGCAGCAGUGGGGAAUUUUGGACAAUGGGGCAACCCUGAUCCAGCAAUGCCGCGUGCAGGAAGAAGGCCUGGUUGUAA